GUGCUCGCUUUGGCAGCAUAUAUACUAAAAUUGGAAUCACACAGAGAAGAUUAGAAUAGCUCCUGCUUAAGGUUG
ensembl:snRNA predicted gene, 24384